UAAGGACACAUGACAUGUGACAUGUCAUGAUUCCCUUUUAUUCCAGAAGUUUGGUCCUUAACCCCUUAAGGACACAACUUCUGAAAUAAAAGGGAAUCAUGACCUGUCACAUGUCAUGUGUCCUUA
rnacentral:miRNA from 1 species